rnacentral:rRNA from 1 species
UACGUAGGGUGCGAGCGUUGUCCGGAAUUAUUGGGCGUAAAGAGCUUGUAGGCGGUUUGUCGCGUCUGCUGUGAAAUCUCAAGGCUCAACCUUGAGCUUGCAGUGGGUACGGGCAGACUAGAGUGUGGUAGGGGAGACUGGAAUUCCUGGUGUAGCGGUGAAAUGCGCAGAUAUCAGGAGGAACACCGAUGGCGAAGGCAGGUCUCUGGGCCACUACUGACGCUGAGAAGCGAAAGCGUGGGGAGCGAACAGG